GUGACGAAUCUCGUAUGUUGUCUGACCUUAUUGGAUUGGUCGGGCCUCGAAGAGGUUCCAGGAAAUAGCCUCCACAUUAGACCGUACCCGAAACCGACACAGGUGGACUGGUAGAGUAUACCAAGGCGCUUGAGAGAACUAUGUUGAAGGAACUCGGCAAUUUACCUCUGUAACUUCGGGAUAAGGGGGCCCUCUAUGUACGCAAGUGCAUAGGGGGGGCACAGACCAG
rnacentral:rRNA from 1 species